UAGGGAAUCUUCCGCAAUGGGCGAAAGCCUGAAGGAGCAACGCCGCGUGAGUGAUGAAGGUCUUCGGAUCGUAAAACUCUGUUAUUAGGGAAGAACAAAUGUGUAAGUAACUAUGCACGUCUUGACGGUACCUAAUCAGAAAGCCACGGCUAACUACGUGCCAGCAGCCGCGGUAAUACGUAGGUGGCAAGCGUUAUCCGGAAUUAUUGGGCGUAAAGCGCGCGUAGGCGGUUUUUUAAGUCUGAUGGGAAAGCCCACGGCUCAACCGUGGAGGGUCAUUGGAAACUGGAAAACUUGAGUGCAGAAGAGGAAAGUGGAAUUCCAUGUGUAGCGGUGAAAUGCGCAGAGAUAUGGAGGAACACCAGUGGCGAAGGCGACUUUCUGGUCUGUAACUGACGCUGAUGUGCGAAAGCGUGGGGAUCAAACAGG
rnacentral:rRNA from 1 species